GUGAGUCAUCGAAUCUUUGAACGCACCUUGCGCCUUUUGGUAUUCCGAAAGGCAUGCCUGUUUGAGUGUCAUGUAGACUCAACUCUCGAGAGGUUUCUUGCGAGUUGGAUUUGGGUGUUGCCGUUUGGCUCGCCUUAAAAGUGUUAGUGGUUUAAGCACUUGAUCGGACGUGAUAAGUUUCGUCCGGCCGUGUGUUGUCAACCGCUCCUAAACCGCCUUGCGGCGCUCUUUGACUCUGACCUCAAAUCAGGUAGGACUACCCGCUGAACUUAAGCAUAUCAAUAAGCGGAGGA
rnacentral:misc_RNA from 1 species